UCCCUGGUGGUCCUGUGGCUAAGACUCUGCGCUUCCAAUGCAGGAGGUGCAGGUUCGAUUCCUGGUCAGGGAA
rnacentral:tRNA from 1 species